rnacentral:rRNA from 1 species
AACGAACGCUGGCGGCAGGCUUAACACAUGCAAGUCGAGCGCCCCGCAAGGGGAGCGGCAGACGGGUGAGUAACGCGUGGGAAUCUACCGUGCCCUACGGAAUAGCUCCGGGAAACUGGAAUUAAUACCGUAUACGCCCUUCGGGGGAAAGAUUUAUCGGGGUAUGAUGAGCCCGCGUUGGAUUAGCUAGUUGGUGGGGU